rnacentral:rRNA from 1 species
GAUGAACGCUGACAGAAUGCUUAACACAUGCAAGUCGAUGGGGAAGUGGUGCUUGCACCAUGGUAACCAUGGCGGACGGGUGAGUAACGCGUAAGGAACUUACCUGCGGGACCGGGAUAACAGCAGGAAACUGCUGACAAGACCGGAUAAGGUCAUUAAGCUGCAUAGCUUAGUGAUGAAAGGAGACGCCUGCGGAGAGCCUUGCGUCCUAUUAGCUAGUUGGAGGGGUAACGGCCCACCAAGGCGAAGAUAUGUAGCCGGCCUGAGAGGGUGGACGGCCACAAGGGGACUGAGAUACGGCCCUUACUCCUACGGGAGGAAGCAGUGGGGAAUAUUGGACAAUGGGGGCAACCCUGAUCCAGCAAUUCUGUGUGCACGAAGACGGUUUUCGGAUUGUAAAGUGCUUUCAGCAGGGAAGAAGGAAGUGACGGUACCUGCAGAAGAAGCGACGGCUAAAUACGUG